rnacentral:rRNA from 1 species
CUACGGGGUGCUCCAGUGGGGAAUAUUGCACAAUGGGCGCAAGCCUGAUGCAGCCAUGCCGCGUGUAUGAAGAAGGCCUUCGGGUUGUAAAGUACUUUCAGCGGGGAGGAAGGGAGUAAAGUUAAUACCUUUGCUCAUUGACGUUACCCACAGAAGAAGCACCGGCUAACUCCGUGCCAGCAGCCGCGGUAAUACGGAGGGUGCAAGCGUUAAUCGGAAUUACUGGGCGUAAAGCGCACGCAGGCGGUUUGUUAAGUCAGAUGUGAAAUCCCCGGGCUCAACCUGGGAACUGCAUCUGAUACUGGCAAGCUUGAGUCUCGUAGAGGGGGGUAGAAUUCCAGGUGUAGCGGUGAAAUGCGUAGAGAUCUGGAGGAAUACCGGUGGCGAAGGCGGCCCCCUGGACGAAGACUGACGCUCAGGUGCGAAAGCGUGGGGAGCAAACAGGAUUAGAUACCCCUGUAGUC